CUGUCAUUCCAACAUGAAAAAAGGAAAGAAAUAGAAUGAUAGCAUAAACAAACUUGUAAAUUUCAGCCAUGAUUUUUCUGUUUGAAUGUAAAUAUGCUUGAUCUCUUUAUAGUGCGUAAAGUUCAUGAUGUCUUAAAAUAAAUUAAAAUAUCGGUGUGUUCUGUUUUAAAAACUCUUCAUUAAAUUAUAAUCAUUAUACCAUCUCUUAAGU
rnacentral:lncRNA from 1 species